AGGUUUUGUAAGGUUAAUUUUACUUGUUUAUUUUGGAAAGUAUUCUAGCUUCUUUUUAUUCUUAUUAUUUUUUAUUGAAUUGUUGAUUAUCUUAGAACUGUGAGGGUGUUAAAUUUUCUAAAGUUAAGUAAUAGUGUUGUACCUUUGGUAUCAGGGUCUAUCUAAAUUAGUUAUAUAUUUUCUAUUCCCGAAGAAAAGAGAGUUACCAGCCCAUGUAUCUUUUGUAGCAGAAAGGGAUUUAAUGGCCUAGGUAGAAGUGAGAUGUUAUUCGUUCUUUUGGUUAUCUGGUUCUUUUAGAAAUUUCUUAGGAAGGCGUUAGUGGUAGCAGAAAGUUUAUUAGGGAUAAGCUUAAUAUCUUAUUUUUAUAUAUGUAUAGGGUUUUGGGUGUUAAAGGAUUAAUAGUGUCUGUAGGUUUUGUAACUCAUUCAAUGUCUAUUUUAUUAAUUAGUUAUAAGAGGGUAUCUUGAAAUCUUUUUUGUUAGUAAUAAUGGUAGAAUUAGUAGAUUAAAUCUUAGUCUAAAUACUUAUGUGUUUUGUUUGAAGUACUUUGUUUUGUAUGUAUAGGUAAGGAACUAGGCAAAUAUUCUUCUUAACUGUUUAUCAAAAACAUUUCUUUAAGUAGGGAUUUAAAGUAUAUUCUGCCCCCUGAUUUAUCUAUUAAAUGGCCGCAGUAGCCUGACUGUGCUAAGGUAGCAUAAUCAUUAGGUUCUUAAUUGGGAUCUGGAAUGAAUGGAUGAAUAAGGAGUUACUGUCUAUCUAUAUUUUUUGAAUUUAAAUUUUUAGUAAUAAUGCUAGAAUGAGUUAGCGGGACGAUAAGACCCUAUAAAGCUUUACUAACUUAUAGUAAAAAUUUUUACUACCUUUAUGACUAAGUUUAGUUUUACUGGGGCGGUAGCUAGUUAACUUAGUUAAUUUUCUUUCUUUGUGGAUCCAUCUUUGGUGAAGUAAGAUUAAGUUACUUUAGGGAUAACAGCAUAAUAUACCUAUGGAGUUCUAAUCGAAGGGUAUGGUUGUGACCUCGAUGUUGAAUUAACCUAAUUGUAGGGUGAAGAAGCUUUACGAGUUAGUCUGUUCGACUAUUGAAGGGUUACGUGAUUUGAGUUCAAACCGGUUUAAGCCAGGUUGG
rnacentral:rRNA from 1 species